rnacentral:rRNA from 1 species
UACGUAGGGAGCGAGCGUUGUCCGGAAUUACUGGGUGUAAAGGGCGUGUAGGCGGGAAAGCAAGUCAGAUGUGAAAACCACGGGCUCAACCUGUGGCCUGCAUUUGAAACUGUUUCCCUUGAGUAUCGGAGAGGUCAUCGGAAUUCCUAGUGUAGCGGUGAAAUGCGUAGAUAUUAGGAAGAACACCAGUGGCGAAGGCGGAUGACUGGACGACAACUGACGGUGAGGCGCGAAAGCGUGGGGAGCAAACAGG